rnacentral:lncRNA from 1 species
GUCUAAAAAAAAUAUUGCAAGAUUACCAAUGUAGUGAUAAUCUGGAUAGCCAUCCUUCUCCUUGGUAAUCUAGAUUACCUCAUAAGAGAUAAUCUGGAUUACCUGAUAAUCGAGAUUACCAAUCCAAAAAGCAUACCAAAUAUGAUAAUCUGGUGGGAUCUUUUUAAAUUGCCAGCAAAGCUACCAAACGCAAUUUUAGUG